UAAAAUUGUGUGUUUCAUUUGAAAAUAAUAUCGGGAAGGAACCCGAGGAACCGAGUCGAGGCUAAAGGACGACUCGUUUGAGAUACAGAGAUUAGAGGAGCAGCAGACUGAGCUGCUGAGGUGUGUGAAGUCAUCAGUUUGAAGCCUUCGGGAGAUACCCUAACUUCAGCUUGAAAUGGAAGAAGGGGAUCGCUCAGUUGAGCAGUCUGUUGAAGCUGAGGCACAAGGGGAAGCCCCAGCUUUACCGAAUGUCAGUGGGUCAGCAGCACCAGCCCCACAAAUGCCGCAAAUUCCUGCACAGUUCGCACAGCAGAUAGCGGCAAUGUUUCAACAAAUGGCUGGGGGUAUGCCUGCUCAAGCUCCACCCCAACCACCUGUGGCACAACCAC